CAUUACGGGGGGGAAGGGGAAGCAGCGGGAAGUGUCUGAAUGAGGGAAGGGGUUAAAGAAAUUUUAGUAGAUCUAAUUGCUUAACGAUUACCUAGGUGGUUGCUGAUAAAUAAUGCUUUGUUUUACUAACCACUGUGUAAAUUAACUGAAGCAAGGAGUCUACUGUUCCUCCUGAAGGACAGUUCCUGAUGAGAACUAGCCAAACCCAGCUGUCGUUUGGACAAAGACCAAGGAACAACUGAGUCUGUGCUAGGAGAGAAGGUAAAAAGUUCAGAGCGAGGGAGGCUACCAAAGCCUUCAUCCCCACCACCUCCACGACCACCACCAAGAGGCAGCAGGCAAGCGCAGCUGGAAAUGACUUCUUGGAGCUAAUUUUAACAGGAAGCAGAGACAGGUCAUGAAUAUGUAGGGUGUAUUUGGAAACCUUACGUAUAUGCAACAUUUGAUUGUAUAAAUUGAAGCAAAUUGGGACUACACCCCCCCACUCACCCACCCACCCCCCCGUGCUGCCCAGCGCUGCAUAAACAUACGUACUUUACAAUCCGGUAAGAUUGUGGAGUCUGAUUCCGCACGUCAUGAACUGUCAAAUCCUCCCAGCAGCGCCCAGAGUGAGAGCUGUGCAGAAUGCCAACUGCCACCAUUCCACUCUGGUCACCCUUUCUUCUACCAUGAAAGUACAAGACAGGCGGAAAGGAUCCAUAGUGGUCUGCAAGUACUAGCUUUAUUGUCCAAGCAAGCAACAUGUGCAGCAGUGGCACAAGGACCGUAGCUGCUGGGGUGAAUCUCUAAGUGUCGAUUACGGUAUGACCUUGUCCUGCAGCCUGUAUGGAAGGUGCUGUGGUUUAA